GAGUCUUCCAUCUUUUGAAGAUGAGAGAUGACGGGAGACACGAAUGGCGCUGCACGCGAAGCAUUCCUUACCGAUGAGAUCUUUGCUUUCGAUAUCACAUAAACAGUGCAGAAAUCCGGCGCCGAUUUUGAUACGCUGCUAGAAGCUGGAAAGAAGCAGAGAAGUUUCACUUGAUAAAGCCAUGGCGUGAUGAGCCAAGAACCAAGUUUUCGACGGCAGCAUACGCAGCAUAAUCUGAUAUGGCUCUUGCUAUGUCCGUCUCCUCCAACAGCACAUCAAAGCAGUUUAUCUGUUGCCAUCACAAUUUUUAUCAUAUUCUUAUUUCUUGCAAUUUCAAAACAUAUAUAGAUUAGUAAUUUAAAGUAUGAUCAAAACUUGUAUACUAGUAUAUCAGGAUUCACAAUAGGAUUUAUUAUUCACAUUUUGUAAUUUGUAUCUGCCAGAUACCACUCAUAUAUAUAUUAUUCAUAAUUCAUAAUUUUGAGGCAGGAAAGGGAGAAAGAAGGCGGUGUGAGGUUUUA